rnacentral:rRNA from 1 species
GAUGAACGCUGGCGGCGUGCCUAAUACAUGCAAGUCGAGCGAACAGACGAGGAGCUUGCUCCUCUGACGUUAGCGGCGGAAGGGUGAGUAACACGUGGAUAACCUACCUAUAAGACUGGGAUAACUUCGGGAAACCGGAGCUAAUACCGGAUAAUAUAUUGAACCGCAUGGUUCAAUAGUGAAAGACGGUUUUGCUGUCACUUAUAGAUGGAUCCGCGCCGCAUUAGCUAGUUGGUAAGGUAACGGCUUACCAAGGCAACGAUGCGUAGCCGAACUGAGAGGGUGAUCGGCCACACUGGAACUGAGACACGGUCCAGACUCCUACGGGAGGCAGCAGUAGGGAAUCUUCCGCAAUGGGCGAAAGCCUGACGGAGCAACGCCGCGUGAGUGAUGAAGGUCUUCGGAUCGUAAAACUCUGUUAUUAGGGAAGAACAAAUUUGUAAGUAACUAUGCACGUCUUGACGGUACCUAAUCAGAAAGCCACGGCUAACUACGUG